AGCUCCGGAGACCUUGCAAUCCCUUAUUAAGGGAGGCAGCACGACAAUAAAUAAAGCUCGCCGCUUGCAAGUCGGCCAUUGGUCGGCAACACAAUCGAAUUGACGGGGACCUCCUAAAGCCUGCAACACCAACCGUCCGGGGAAACUCGGGCGGGGCCCUCACGGGGUGGUAAGAGAGUGCAGGAUGAUGCAAUGGACGAUCCGCAGCGAAGACCCUACCGGCGAGAGCCCACGGGUACCGUUCACAGACUAAGUGAUUGUGGGCGGGGCAUGAGAGCCCUGUCUAAGAUAUAGUCGGUCUCUACCCGAAAGGAUAGGGGAGAGUACGUCCGUAGGUGAACCUGCGGAAGGAUCAUUA
rnacentral:ncRNA from 1 species